CCUCUGAGUCCUCGUUCCGCCUGAAAGGAGACUGAGGCCCUUUAGUUUCCUUCCCGCUCAGCACAGUUCUCCUCUGCUUGUUCAGAGCCAGAGCCAAUGGAGGCGGAGACUGGGAAUCAGCAUAGUCUCCGUGCAGUGCACAGAGGCACUGUCUGGAGGUGCCGACCUUGAGAACAGAACUUUGUCCCUCUUGGGUCCCUGUAAUGCAGGGCACACCUGGGACCUAUUUGGGACUUUGCAGGGACAGCUGCCGGUACCUGACAGGCCCGGAGCCUCCGGAUCAUCUGCAGGCCCAUUUGGAUGGCCCUGUUGGGGAGAGGCAGGAGGUGCAGCUGGAGGAGGUAGAGGAAGGACAGACAGCUCGUCUGCACGGAAGGAGGCAGCGCGGAUGUUUGCAGCGACAGAUGGCAGCAUCCGGCAGAGCCCUGGAAGCCGGGUGAGGAGAGGAGGGGAGGCCGGCCAGACUCCUCUGCAGCUCUCAGGCCUCCCGCACAAGCUCAGCCUGCCUGGCACACACGUGGAGAUUCUCCCCUCCCUGUGUGGCGCUAAGGCACCUUGGUGAGCUCCUCAUGGUCCACAUGGGCUGCGAGUGUGUGGGAUGGCCUGGGGCGACUGGAGAAGUCUGUUCACCUGGCCCUUUGGGAGCCAAGUGGAGGAGGCUCCAGAUCAGCCCCAGAAACCCUGUUCGCUGUUCUCAGUGAGGGCGUCUGCCACGAGACUGGGGCCAGAGGGGCCAUGUAGGGAUGAGGAGUGGCGGUGACUGGGAGGUGAGGAUGGCCAGAAAGUGCUAGUCUCCCAUCAUCCCUCUGUCUUGGUGAACUCCGCUGUAUCUUAGAAUCCUGCUUGACCCGGCUCUUCAGGAAGCUGCCCUGGCAGGCCGGGCUGAGCCUGAAGAUGCCUGGCCUGGCUCUGUGGCCUCUGUGAGCCCCGGCCCCUCCUGGCCUCAGUUCUAGCUGGAGGAAACAGGACUCCCUCCUCAUCCUGGGAAGGCGGUCUCUUCCUCUCAGCGGGACUUUGAAGAGGCCGUGAAGAACCCACAGGGCCCUGCAGCAGUGGAACCAGACACCCAGAUUCACCACCCUGGAGUCGUUCCCAGCCUAGCACAGAGCCUGGGAAACAGAUGGAGAAAGCGUAGGGUGGGAGGGCCCAACAUCCUGGGCGGCUGGGGAAAUGACAGCAGCCGGGAUCCCAGCACUUAGCAUGGGUCAGUUAACAAUGCAUCCGGCCCCACCCAGCCUGUGAGGAGCCCCUUCUGUUCCUCACGCUCACACACCUGAAACUGACUCUCUGCUGGGCUCACUUGUCCACACUGCUGCUACUACCACCGCCACAGGGCCAGGAUUAGACCCCAGACAACCUGGACCGGAAGUCCACACUCCCAUCCACGGAACUACAAAACAAAAUGAAAACCAUCUCUCCCUCUGGCAGGGAUGACGGAUAAUAGGUUUGAUGCCAUCAAGUGCUGCUGAGGUCACCUCACCACCACCACCACCACGGGGAGCCCACGUCUGAUUACCUAGGGAGCCCCAAGAGUUCGGGUCAGAGUGGAGCGAACAGCUCUUUCAUCUCAUCUGCGUUUAGGUUGCCAUGCAGGAAAGAGUCGUGCAUUGCUUUGGUUUGUAACUCAUUUAAAAGGAGAAUGGGGGCAGUGAUACAGGGACAGCAUGUGCGAGGCCCGAGUUGCAUCCUUAGCCCAUCCCCCAAACAGAUGGGGGAGUAUGUUGGGGAAAGGGAAUCAAAGAUGGACAGAAUGGAAGGCUCUCAGACAGUUGUCCCUGACCGUGACCUCCUGCAGGCUUUGUCUGGGCGAGGCCUGUUCUUUUAUUGGGCACAUAUGUAUUUUCUGGGGGCCCCUAGGUCCUCGGCUCUGUGCCGGGCUGUGUGCUCUCCCCAGGCACACCCAGGGUGUGUCCCGACAGAGGGGCUCCCCUUCUGUCCCUGUCUGGGCGCUCUGUGGUAACAAGGUCAGGGCUGCAGGGAGGAGCCAGUUCUGGCCAGAGCUCUGAUCUGUGACGGGCUGUUCCCCGGAGCAGCUGCUACAACAACAUUUACUUUGUACAGUGGCCAAGAGAGAGAGCAAGAAAAGGAAGAGAGAGAGAGAGAGAGAGAGAGAGAGAGAGAGAGAGAGAGACAGAGGGAGAGAGCACACAAGCCUACUCUAUUGCAAAAUGUUUCUGACAAAAUCUGGCACUCCUGGUUCUAAUCAAAAUACUGAACUUUGGAACAAAUUAACAUUCCACAGCCCUCACUGGGAAGGAGAAUUCAGCCGAGACGACUUCAGUUCACAACAACAAAAAUAGCUUCUCCCGGGGAAGACACAUUCUGCUAACAAGGUCACUUGUGUUUUGCUUCCCCUGCCAUCUGGCUGAGCGGCAACCAGGGGCUGGCACUGGUACCAGCGUCUUGUGUGGAGAGGGGCUGGGAACCGGGUGGUGCCGCUGAAGGCUUCUCAGCCUCCUGGCAAAGGGUGUAGGCGUGGAGUUACCUUCAGACAGUCCCAGAACUGGGGCAGAUGGAGCCCAGUCUCACCCAGCCGGGCUCAGCUUCGAGCUCCGAGCAGCAGGAGGUGUGACACCAGCACACAGCAACAAGCAGAUCUGGAGGCCAGAAGUGUGAAAUCAAGAUGUUGUCAGGGCUCUGUUCCUUCUGAGACCUUCUGAGACCUUCUUUGCCUCCUCCCAUUUUCUGGCACACCAGUCAUAUUGGAUUAAAGGCCCAAGACUCCAUUCUGACCUCAUCUUGGCUAAUUGCAUCUCCAUGACCCUAUUUCCAAAUAAGGUCACAAUCUCAGGAUGUGGAGCAGCACCCCAACCUUUAUCAAACAGAUGCUUCUAGCAUUGCUUAAUUCAGUUGCGACAACCAAAAAAUGUUAGUGUCUCCUGGUGUGUGUGUGUGGCAAAAUUACCCCUAGUUGAGAAGAAUGAGAAUAUUCAUUUAGGGGUUGGAAAUCUUAAAGUUGUAAAAAUCAUCCAAAUUUCUCUUUAUCUUGCUUUCUGUUAAAUACUUUCCUGUGUUGUAAGGCUGCUCUGCUCUGAGACCACUGGCACCGUGAGCAGAUGGCAUGACUUGGCUGUCCCCUGCUCCUGCCUCCGUGCACCUGGGACCUGUGGGUGGCCUCGUUUGCAUGGAGGAAAAAGAUAAUAUCCCUAUUUAUUACAAAGACUCAGGCAUUUGAAGGACCCAACCAAUGGUGUGACAUGUGUGGGCACAUGAACUUCACCUUGGAUGCCCCAGAAGUUUCUAGAGCUGACUUCCUUUAACUAGAAGGAAUAUGACUGUGGUCUUAGAAGAAAGACAUUACCUGGAGGAAGUUGAAAGCCAGCAUGCAGAGAAGGAAGACUACGGAAGGGCUCAGGCAGCUACACAGCUCUGCAGAACAAAAUGUUCUUGUCCAGGCCAUGGGGCCACAGGCUGGGACAGAGGGGAGGAACAAUGAUGUCAUGGAAUGAGAAGGAGUUGGGAACACUAUUGGAAUGAAUGUUCCAUUGAUUACACGAGUUGCUGACAAGCAACAGCAGAAAUGGAGCUGGGUGAUCAGUCUCAAAUUCUCCCCCUGACAUUUGCAAGAAAAGUGGUGAACACAUCCCAGACACCCACUUCCUACCCCCGUUAUGUGUAUGAGACGCUGGAAGCAGCAAGGACUCGGAUUCUCCCCUUGAGCCACCAGGAGGAACACAGCCUGCAGCUGCAUCCAGACUUCUGACCUCCAGAACUGCAAGCAAAUAAAAGUAUGUGAUUUGGGGCCACCCCGUUUGUGCUCAUUCACUGCUGCCGCAGCCAGAGAAAACCAACACAGAUUUCCACGUUGAGUCUGGGUUUUCCUUUGAGGCUGUGGCUUUUCCUACUGUGAUCGUAGCUCACAGCUGCUGAGUGGGGACAAUGUGUACCAGAUGCUGAGUAGACAUCAUCUCAGUUCUCCCAGUAACCCUGUGGGCCGGGCACUGGCAUUACCCUUAUUCAGGAGAUGGAGGACUAGGCUUGCAACAGUCUGCUGUAACCAGAGGCGGUUUUGAGCCCCAGGGACACUGAGCAAUGCCUGUAGACAUUCAGAUAGUCACAACCAGGUUUGGGGUGCUCCUGGCAUCUAGUGCAGGAGAAGCCAGGGAUGAAUGACAUGUGUGUGUACACAUGUGCAUAUGGGGUGUGUAUGGGGUUGGUGUGUGGCGUGUGUGUGUGUGUCUGUGUGGUGGGGGCCAGGUUAGGGAGAACAGGGGACCUGGCCUCUGCCUCACUUUCCAUCAUGAUCUGCUCCACUGUCCCCCCAAACUGCCUACAUCAGCAAGAGAUGAGAGAGUUACCAGUGUCAUCCCCCUAAAAUUCUACUUUUUCUCACAUUGAUGUCCCCUAUUUCCUGCCCACUAUUAUUGACUGGCACCUCCUCUCUGUUCUCUUCAUGCCUCCCUCCAUCACUGCCUCAGAGCAUACUUUUCUGAUUGGAUGAGGCCCCUGCCGCCAGCUCCGGUACCGAUACAGGUCUCAGCACCAAUGUACACUGGAAAGUGGAAAGUCUGCCCCACCUGAGCAGUGGCUGAGCAGCUUGCUGUUUGCAAAGUGUCACUGCCGGAAAGAAGUGGAUGGCAAGAUGCAUCCUCUACGGGGAUCAUGACCUGACGUGGCCCUCUCGCCUGGUCACCUGGUUAGGCCAAGUCACCAGACAGUCCCUGUGUUCUCACCUGCAAAUUGGGAGUCACUUACUUGAAAUUAAGUAAGAGAUGGAGGAAUCUGUUCCUCCCUCAGAGAUGCAUGAGUGACGCCUGGUGUGUUUGCAACCCAAUAAUACCAGCUACCAAUUGCUUGCUGUGCACCAAGCUCUGUGGAUUGAAUUCUCACAAAUCAUAGUGUUUUAGUUGACUGAACUUCAUUUGAAUAAGUGGAUUUCGGGGAAUAUGUCUGCUGAGAUACUAAACCUUGAUUGCACUGCAGUGCUGGGAUGGAACCGAGGGCCUCGUGCACAAUGGACAAGUGCUUGACCACGGAGCUCCACCUCAGUCCUUUACUGAGCCUUAGACUUUAUCUUCAUGUGCUCUCUAGACAACUCCUGUGUUAACAUUUGAGGCUUGUAUAGGCCAAGCAUCCCUAAUCUGGAAAUCAAAAGUGCUCCAAAAUCCAAAACUUUCUGAGCACUGACAUGCUGCCAUAGUGGAAGUUCAGUUCCUUGUGGCUACGGAACAGAGACCCUGUGUCGUUGCUGGCUGCUCCCCGCUCCGGGCGGCUGCCCACACUCCUUGUCACACAGUUCCUUCUGCCUUCCAGCCAGCGAUGGCACAUGGGCUCCUCGUUCUCAGAAGCUCUGACUUUUCUGUUGCUGACUUUAGAAGCCUUCAAGGGUGGUCCUGCCAAUCCCUGCCACAGCAGCAGCCGUGUUAGUGUGGUUGUAUGUACAGCCCGGGGCAGGAACUCUCACAGGCAGGCUUAGAAUUCUGCCUCCCGCAAGGCUUUUGACCUAAGUGUUAGACCAGGUCUUUUGCUGACCCUGACUUCAAAAUGUUUGAAUGCACAGUUGUGCAAGGAGUUCCCAUAUUGUGGCUGACAUUGAAGAAGAGUUGUUUAAGGUGCGACAUUCUGCAGAUCUAUGGGUACUGCCUACACUGCCUCGUGCUGUUGAUUACUGCAUUGAUGGCUUCAGAAGCUCUCCACGUGUUGAUCAAGACCUUGUUGAACCUUGACAGAGUGAUAAAUUGCAUGCUUGUUUCCCCUCAUGAUUUCGUGGCUCUUUUGAAAGACUACCCCCUUGAUGUGCCCAGGAAAAUUUCCUUUGAUGUGCUAAGUCUGGACAGUUGAGCUUUUAAGGAAUCUAAAGCAGAGAAAAUGAGUACCUGCCCAUCCUGAGGCAGGCUGGCCUCUGUGUUUUCUGCUUGUGGUGAACCUGGGCUGCAAAAAUGGUUUUUAUUCUCAGCCAUCUGGUUCCUCUCACCUGUCAAAUAGCCCAGCUCUCAGAUUCUGACACAAGAAUAAAUUGCCCCCUUGUUAUGUUAAGUAAAAGAAACUAAAGUGUGAAGGAAAACGCCUUUGAAAGAGAGGCCAAGGAAGGAGUUCCUAUUGCCAAGAUUGGUCAAAAGUGGCUGGAAAUCUCUCUCUUUCAAUGCAGCGGGUUUUGACUGGUAUAAAACAGCAUUUUCCAGCAUGUGUCUCUGGGAAACCAGUUUUAUCUGAUGAGUAAUGGGUGUGAGGAGGAAAAGAUUCUCCCGUCACACAGGUUCACCAUGCUACCUCCGUAUCAAUCUCCUGAGGUGAAAUACGAUUGGCUGUGAUCUACAAACCCAUGUAGGGGCUGAUGCUCCUCUGGUUUCCUGUGAAAGAAAUAUUUACAAGAUAAGGGAUCCAAGGAGCACACUUCAGGAAGGGCAGCGUUGAAGGAUAGCUAUGACUUUGAGAAAGUAGGCAUGGGCAGUUGGCGAAUCUGUGUCGCCAAUCCACAGAUGAACCCGUCUCCACAUUUGAGGAGGAACAGAGUCGGAUUGUAGAUGCACACUUGGUGUGUCUUAAAUAUUUCUCAGUAAAAUUAUUUCUUACACUCUUUAUUGACUAUUGAUAUCAUUCUCAGUUUGAGGGUCCCCAAAGUAACCUCAGAG
rnacentral:lncRNA from 1 species